rnacentral:lncRNA from 1 species
AGUCGCUGCCUGCAAAAGUUUCACAUCCGCACACUGCACAGGUUACAGCUGACUGCAGUUCGUGACAUGUUCGUUUAAAGUAGGAGAUAUUGGGCUUUCUCGUCUUGAAUAAACUAACAAUGCUGUGCUUUUGGUUGUACCUUCGAAGAGAAGAAGAGAGGGACGCAGGAAGAAGAAGAAUAAUACGGCUGAUGAACAUCUGCAGAGCAUACUGGCAGAUUACAAAAGCAACUGCUUUGUGUAAAAAUCACUUUACUCCAGACCAGUUUGAACCGACAGACUUGGUGGAGUGGUAAAACGUAAACCAAAUGCUGUGCCAACAAUUUUUGGUGAUCGUAAAGCUCCUGCCGAGAGGAAACCUGUUGGCCUACUGGAGAAACGUACUGAGGAUACAGAGGUUGGAGAGCCUUCGAAUGUGACCAAUGACGUCAGUCCUGCAGCGAACUUGGACACGACAGAAGAUGAAGUCACCACCCUGAAGAACCUAGCUUCAGGCUGGAACUGAAGCUUUCAAGAGAAAACUCACCCUCUCUCAGAAAAGGGAGAGAAGAGUGUCUUUAGAAAAAGACAGCCUCUUAGCGAGUCUGCACGGUUUAUUCGGUGCAGAUCAGUUUGUAGUAUGAGUGAAGGGGACACGUGAAGGUAGCAAAUGGUCAGUGGAAAGGGCUAAAAAUUCGACCACCUUGUAGUAGUAAGGGGUGCAAAGUCCUGCUGGAAAAUAAAUUACCAUUUCCUUCAGAUAGAACCCCAAUAUGUUCGCUACAGAGCAUAAAAGUUAGACCUGGUGUGCCGAGGGAGCUCGUGAGUUUCCUGAGAGUCAAGCUUGCCCUCAUGUUACCAGUGGAGAUGCAUGCUGUUCUCCUGAUGGAUGAGGUUAGUAUCACUCACCAUUGGAAUGUGGUUGAGCAUUGGCUGCACCAUUGAUAAUGAUAAGACACCUCCACCAGAACUCGCCCUUGCAAAAACUAUAGCUUCUAAUGCAUCAGUUGUUAUGCUGGGUGGUAUUACCUCAAGAUGGAAACAAACAAUAGGUUACCAUUACACAGGGCCAUCUUUUUCCAGUUCUCACCCCAGACAUUACUAUAAGCUUUAUUAGGGAAUCUUAGGCACUCGUACAAUGUUCGCUGCAUCGCGUCAGUGACGGGAGGGCAGAAUUGAGCUGUAUGGCGAGAAUUUGGAAUUGUUGUCGAAAGGUUUUCAAAAUUAGUUUCUGCCAGUGUCUUUGUGAUGAUAAUUGGAAACUAAUUUUCCUCACAGAUACACCACACAUUUUGAAAAACGAGGAUUCACUUAGUCAAUGGGCAAUCGGUCUUCCUCUGACGAAAUGUUGUCAAGGGACAUGAUCUGCCUUGUAAUGAGGUACAUAUAAAUCGUGUAUAACAGUGGCUUGAGGUAGACAGUGGUUUAAGUCUUAAACUGGCACCAAAACUGUGUGAGGGAUGUCUGAGGCCAAACCAUUACGAGAAAAUGAAAGUUGGCUCAUCUACUGCCAUAAUUAACAGCCAGACUGCAGCAGCCAGUGAGUGUGCUGUAAAGACAGAGAAACUGCAGAAAAAUACUUUAACCACAGCACGGUUGCUAAAGCACGUUCGUGAGUGGUCUUGCCUCAUGACAUCCAGAGCUCCAGUUAUGCCUCUGAGUCGUUCUGAUGAACAAACAUACAGUGAGGCUCUCUGUCAUCUUUAGGACACUCUGUGAUUAUUUGGAAACUUGAAAAUUGGGCUGAGCAGUGCCUGGAAACCAGUUCAGUGUGGUGUAGUUUUGACAGCUGGAGGUAUUUUGGGAUUGCAGAACACAUUCCUGAAUGAGAAGAAAUUAAAAUUUUUGCUAAUAAGUAGAUUUACACAAGAUACCUUGGAAAAUCUGUUAGCAAUGCUCCACUUCAAAAAUCCAGUACCAACGCUACGAGAAGUAAAAUCGUCACUGAGGGUUAUUACUCUUUCUCAGUUCUUUAAUACUGCCACUGAUAAUUAUGAAAAUGAAGGCAGUAGUUUGCAGUCAGAACUAGUGAAGAUGGGGAUGUCUGUGCUGAGGAAGUUGGUGAGCCACUUUGUAACAUGGUGUGUGACGAAGAGCAGCAGUCCCAAUACUAUUUGUGUGGUCACACUGUCAGGCAGGUUAUGAAGCGUCACGCACUUUGCAAAUUUUUCGAGAAGCGCCUAAUAGCGUGCAAAGAAAAUCUCUGUACCUGUGUGAACGUGCUUUUACAUCUGAAGUCCUUCACUGAUACCUCACUUAUUGAGCCAUCACGUGAGGUUUUCAGUGUGUUGCAAAAGGCAGAGAUGUGUUUGAGAAGCAACAAGAAGAAAUUACUCACAGGUGAAUUGUUGCUCUGUGAUGUAGCCACUGCCGUGCCUGCAUCAGUGAAAGAGAAAGUAGUUUUCCCAGCCUGCCACAGUGUACAGGAGAAAAUAAUUCACAGUUUCCUGGCAACAAGAAUUCAUCUGGUGCCAAGGGAGGGAAAUAA